GACGAACGCUGGCGGCGUGCUUAACACAUGCAAGUCGAACGGAAAGGCCCCUUCGGGGGUCCUCGAGUGGCGAACGGGUGAGUAACACGUGAGUAACCUGCCCUGACUUCGGGAUAACUUCAGGAAACUGGGGCUAAUACCGGAUAGGAAUCCUUGCUGCAUGGUGGGGGUUGGAAAGCUUCGGCGGUUUUGGAUGGACUCGCGGCUUAUCAGCUUGUUGGUGGGGUAGUGGCUUACCAAGGCUUUGACGGGUAGCCGGCCUGAGAGGGCGACCGGCCACAUUGGGACUGGGAUACGGCCCAGACUCCUACGGGAGGCAGCAGUGGGGAAUAUUGCACAAUGGGCGGAAGCCUGAUGCAGCAACGCCGCGUGCGGGAUGACGGCCUUCGGGUUGUAAACCGCUUUCAGCAGGGGCGAAGCUUGUGGUGACGGUACCUGCAGAAGAAGCACCGGCUAACUACGUG
rnacentral:rRNA from 1 species